AUAAUAUCUGCUUUUUGGAGAGGAUCAAGUGUAGUAUCUGUUCAUAUCAGUUUAAUAUCCAAAUGGAAUUUAUGAACGGGGAGUCAGAAAAGGGGCUUGCUCCAUGUAACGACCCAGUAUUGCAGUGCAUCUGGGAACGGAGCACACAAA
ensembl:snRNA U2 U2 spliceosomal RNA